GACGUAGGGCGCGAGCGUUGUCCGGAUUUAUUGGGCGUAAAGAGCUCGUAGGCGGCUUGUCGCGUCGACUGUGAAAACCCGUGGCUCAACCAUGUGGUCUGCAGUCGAUACGGGCAGGCUAGAAUUCGGUAGGGGAGACUGGAAUUCCUGGUGUAGCGGUGAAAUGCGCAGAUAUCAGGAGGAACACCGAUGGCGAAGGCAGAUCUCUGGGCCGUAACUGACGCUGAGGAGCGAAAGCGUGGGGAGCGAACAGG
rnacentral:rRNA from 1 species